GGGGAGCCCUAGCACAGGUGCUGCAUGGUUGUCGUCAGCUCGUGCCGUGAGGUGUCGGGUUAAGUCCCAUAACGAGCGCAACCCUACCUUUAGUUGCCAUCAGGUUAAGCUGGGGGACUCUAAAGGAACUGCCUACGCAAGUAGUGAGGAAGGCGGGGAUGACGUCAAAUCAGCACGGCCCUUACGUCCAGGGCUACACACGUGCUACAAUGGCCGAUACAGAGGGCAGCUACCUGGUGACAGGAUGCAAAUCUCCAAAGUCGGUCUCAGUUCGGAUCGGAGUCUGCAACCCGACUCCGUGAAGUUGGAUUCGCUAGUAAUCGCGCAUCAGCCAUGGCGCGGUGAAUACGUUCCCGGGCCUU
rnacentral:rRNA from 1 species